rnacentral:rRNA from 1 species
ACGAAGGGGGCUAGCGUUGCUCGGAAUCACUGGGCGUAAAGCGCACGUAGGCGGACUCUUAAGUCAGGGGUGAAAUCCUGGAGCUCAACUCCAGAACUGCCUUUGAUACUGGGAGCCUUGAGUUCGGGAGAGGUGAGUGGAACUGCGAGUGUAGAGGUGAAAUUCGUAGAUAUUCGCAAGAACACCAGUGGCGAAGGCGGCUCACUGGCCCGAUACUGACGCUGAGGUGCGAAAGCGUGGGGAGCAAACAGGA